AUGGCAAGAAAGUCGUCCAAGUUAAGCCCCUACUCAAAUAUGUUACUAAAUUUCGUUUUAUAUAGUAUUUUUUAUGAAUUCGCCUUCGCCUUUCCGUCAUAUCCCGAAUCCAGACAGUCAGAAAGUUUGGAGAAACCCACCUCAACACCAAACAAUCAACAGGUUCGUUAUCUAACGUUACUUUCUUGCGUCAGUCACUUCUCUUUUAUCAGUUUGCACACUUACUUACUAUCCACGAUCUGUUGUUUCACAGGUUCUAAGUCUGCAUUUAGGAGUUAUCGCGUCUGUUGUGAUCGUUAUUGUUGCUGCAGUAGCAGCUGCUGUAUUCAUCAUACGGAGUUACUGCUGUCUGCAGAGUAAUGUAACAUAUAGAUAUUCAGAGCUGCGACAAAUGGAAGCGGAAAAUGCAGCCAGAGAAGAGGACGAUGGUUCAGAUGAGGACCUUUUGGAGUGA
ensembl:lncRNA